rnacentral:misc_RNA from 1 species
AAAUCCUGUGGGCAUGAUGUCUGGGAUGAACAGAAGCAUGCCACUGUCUAGGCCAGGCUUUCAGGGAGUGGCCUCAUCAUCGAUGAUGAAUUCCACUAGUAUGCUUUCCUCAGGUGUGGCUGGGGGGGCNGCCCUGUAAGUAUGCAAUCUGGAAGUAGUUCUGGUCAAGGGAAUUCAAUGAUGAGAUCUCGUGAGGCUUUGCACCUGAUGCGGACUGGCCAUAACUCAGAGCAUCAAAGACAAAUUAUGUCUCCUGAACUUCAGAUGCAAGGAAACAGCCAAGGGAUUCCUGCUUUUAGUGGGUUGACUUCUACUUUUGCUAAUCA